UUGUUUUUGUGUUCAUUAGUUUAUAAGCUUGGGUUACUUAUCCAAGCAGUUGGUCUGUUUAGGGCCUCAACAGUCUAGCUUUCAAUACAAUAGCCCUCAGCUUCCUAUUAGAUUAACAUUAUAUAACUACAGCUUUCCUCCAUAGCAUUUGCACACUUUUCUAGUCACACUGCUAACAACUCUGUACUGGACAAGCCAUUCAGCACAGCUCAGGAAUGCAAUAACCCAGAAUUCUAGUGUGGGUAUAUAGACACACCCCGGUGUCACCCACAGGGGUGAUUGACUGAUCAAUUGAAUAAUUGACAUAUACAUAUGAUGUUGGAAUAAACGUCACCUCA